AGAGUUUGAUCCUGGCUCAGAACGAACGCUGGCGGCGUGCCUAAUACAUGCAAGUCGAACGAGAAAGCACCCUUCGGGGUGUUAGUAAAGUGGCAGACGGGUGAGUAGUACGUAGGUAACUUGCCUUUGAGUGGGGAAUAACCUUCCGAAAGGAGGGCUAAUACCGCAUAAGACCACAGCCACUACGGUGGCAGAGGUAAAAGGUGGCCUCUACUUGUAAACUAUCGCUUAAAGAUAGGCCUACGCACCAUUAGCUUGUUGGUAGGGUAAAGGCCUACCAAGGCUAUGAUGGUUAGCUGAUCUGAGAGGUUGAUCAGCCACACUGGAACUGAGACACGGUCCAGACUCCUACGGGAGGCAGCAGUAGGGAAUUUUGCGCAAUGGGGGCAACCCUGACGCAGCGACGCCGUGUGGGCGAUGAAGGCUUUCGGGUCGUAAAGCCCUGUCAGAGGGGACGAAAAACAACGUGGCUAAUAUCCACGUUGCAUGACGGUACCUUCAGAGGAAGCACCGGCUAACUACGUGCCAGCAGCCGCGGUAAUACGUAGGGUGCUAGCGUUGUUCGGAAUUAUUGGGCGUAAAGCGCGUGUAGGUGGUUGUGCAAGUCGGGUGUGAAAGCCCUCGGCUCAACCGAGGAAGUGCACUCGAAACUACAUAGCUAGAGGACGGUAGAGGGAGGUGGAAUUCCUAGUGUAGAGGUGAAAUUCGUAGAUAUUAGGAGGAAUACCUGUGGCGAAGGCGGCCUUCUGGGCCGUUCCUGACACUGAGACGCGAAAGCGUGGGUAGCAAACAGGAUUAGAUACCCUGGUAGUCCACGCUGUAAACGAUGAGUACUAGGUGUUGCAAGCGUUGACCCUUGCAGUACCGCAGCUAACGCAUUAAGUACUCCGCCUGGGAAGUACGGUCGCAAGAUUAAAACUCAAAGGAAUUGACGGGGGCCCGCACAAGCGGUGGAGCAUGUGGUUCAAUUCGAUGCAACGCGAAAAACCUUACCUGGGUUUGAAAUCCCCGGACAACCCUAGAGAUAGGGCUUUCUCUUCGGAGACCGGGUGACAGGUGCUGCAUGGCUGUCGUCAGCUCGUAUCGUGAGAUGUCGGGUUAAGUCCCUUAACGAGCGCAACCCUUGUCCUUAGUUGCCAUCAUUUAGUUGGGAACUCUAAGGAGACUGCCGGUGUUAAACCGGAGGAAGGUGGGGAUGACGUCAAGUCCUCAUGGCCCUUAUGUCCAGGGCGACACACGUGCUACAAUGGCCAGUACAGAGGGAUGCCAACCCGCGAGGGGGAGCUAAUCUCAGAAAGCUGGUCUCAGUUCGGAUUGGAGUCUGCAACUCGACUCCAUGAAGUUGGAAUCGCUAGUAAUCGCGAAUCAGCAGGUCGCGGUGAAUACGUUCCCGGGCCUUGUACACACCGCCCGUCACACCACGAAAGUUAGUUGCACCAGAAGUCGUUGUACCAACCUUCGGGAGGAAGACGCCCAAGGUGCGAUUAAUGAUUGGGGUGAAGUCGUAACAAGGUA
rnacentral:rRNA from 1 species